GUCAAAAGAGCAAAUUGAAUGCUACUUAGCAUUUCUAGAGCUUCACCCUGAAAUGAAGCUCCACAAAAACGAUCCCACGCGACCCAAAAGGUUAGAAGAGCUGUGGAUCGAGCUUGCUCAGCAGCUAAACGCUUUAAAAGGUCCAUCACGUUCGCCUACCAAAUGGAAGGAGUGUUUAAACCAUUGGAGAAACAAGAUUCGCUCAAGGGCAAGAAAGGCGAAAGUAAAUAAAAUAUUAACAGGUUGAGGACCAAUGCAGGAAAUUCAAUCCUCCGAGUUUGAAGAGCGGGCUAUGGUAACACUGGGGAGGACCGUGGUUGAUGGACAGCCUGAUGUCACAACUAUUGGAGUAAAGAAUGAAAUUAUAAUCAAUAUAGAUCCGCAGAGUCCGAGAAGCGAGACGCCAUCAACUUCACGUUCUCGAAGGCAGACUUCACAGGAAAUGUUUGCUGACAUGAUGGCUCCGAUGAAAAGGAGGAGCGAAGAAGAGGCAAAAUUUAGAGAGACAUCGCAACAAUGCUUCCAAAAUGUUGCGGAGCCUUUAAACAAUAUGGCAAGUGCUAUUUUAAAGCUGUCGGAAGCUGUUUAAAAAAAAAUUUAAAAAUAAAUGUUUAAGUUAAAUUGUUUUUAAGUUCCUAUGAAUGUUUAUUGUGUACAUACACACAAAAGAAUAUGUUUAAGUUAAAUUAUUUUUAAGUUCCUAUUAAUGUUUA